rnacentral:rRNA from 1 species
AUACGUAGGGGGCUAGCGUUAUCCGGAAUUACUGGGCGUAAAGGGUGCGUAGGUGGUUUCUUAAGUCAGAAGUGAAAGGCUACGGCUCAACCGUAGUAAGCUUUUGAAACUAAGAGACUUGAGUGCAGGAGAGGAGAGUAGAAUUCCUAGUGUAGCGGUGAAAUGAGUAGAUAUUAGGAGGAAUACCAGUUGCGAAGGCGGCUCUCUGGACUGUAACUGACACUGAGGCACGAAAGCGUGGGGAGCAAACAGGAUUAGAUACCCUGGUAGUCCACGCCGUAAACGAUGAGUACUAGCUGUCGGGGGUUACCCCCCUCGGUGGCGCAGCUAACGCAUUAAGUACUCCGCCUGGGAAGUACGCUCGCAAGGCUGAAACUCAAAUGAAUUGACGGGG